UACGUAGGAGGCAAGCGUUGUCCGGAAUUACUGGGCGUAAAGCGCGUGUAGGUGGUGGGACAAGUCUGCUGUGAAAGCGCCUGGCUUAACCGGGCGAGGUCGGCGGAAACUGUCCGACUCGAGGACGGUAGAGGGGGGUGGAAUUCCCGGUGUAGUGGUGAAAUGCGUAGAGAUCGGGAGGAGCACCUGUGGCGAAGGCGGCCCCCUGGGCCGGCCCUGACACUGAGACGCGAAGGCGUGGGGAGCGAACGGG
rnacentral:rRNA from 1 species